UUCUCUUGACUUUUCUUCUACAGCAAUGACAUCAUUGGUUUCUGUAGACUGUUCUGGAAUUGAAGAUGCGUUUGGUUGCUCCUCUUCCCUUCGUUCCGUUGAAUGUUGUUCUGGUUCUUUCUGAUUUUCCUCAACUUCAGUAACCACAGGUUCACCUUUUACUGUUUCUGUAGGCUCAACUUCAGUAGCCACAGGUUCUUCUUUUACCGUUUCUGUAGCUUGAACUUCAGUAGCCACAGGUUCUUCUUUUACCAUUUCUCUAGGAUCAACUUCAGUAACCACAGGUUUGACUUUUACUGAUUCUGUCAGAUCAACUUCAGUAACCAGGGGUUCUUUUACUGUUUUUGUAAUUUCAACUUCUGUAGCCACAGCUUCUUCUUUUACUGUCUCUGUAGGAUCAACUUCAGUAACUAUAGGUUCGUCUUUUACCGUUUCUGUUGCCUCGAAUUCAGUAGCUGCAGGUUCAUCUUUUACCAUUUCUGUAGGCUCAACUACAGUUGUCACAGGUUCUUCUUUUACGGUUUCUGUAGCUUCAACUUCAGUAGCCACAGAUUCUUCUUUUACUGUUUCUGUAGCUUCAACUUCAGUAGCCACUGGUUCUUCUUUUACUGUUUCUGUAGCUUCAACUUCAGUAGCCACUGGUUCUUCUUUUACUGUUUCUGUAGCUUCAACUUCAGUAGCUGCAGGUUCGUCUUUUACCGUUUCUGUAGCCUCAACUUCAGUUGCCACAGGUUCUUCUUUUACCGUUUCUGUAGGCUCAACUUCAGUAGCCACGGGUUCUUCUUUUACUGUUUCUGUAGCUUCAGCUUCAGUAGCUAGAGGUUCUUCUUUUACCGUUUCUGUAGGAUCAACUUCAGUAACCACAGGUUCGUCUUUUACGGUUUCUGUAACCUUAACUUCAGUAGCUGCAGGUUCUUCUUUUACUGUUUCCGUAGCCUCAACUUCAGUAGCCACAAGUUCUUCUUUUAGUGUUUCUGUAGCCUCAACUUCAGUAACCACGGGUUCUUCUUUUACUAUCUCUGCAGUCGCAACUUCGGUAACCAUGGGUUCUUCUUUCACUGUUUCUGUAG
rnacentral:lncRNA from 1 species